AUGCUAAUUGAACAAGGUAAAUAUUCCAGGGAGUUGCAAAUGGAACAGGUGAAAAUCUGAUAGUAAUGAAAGACUAAUUAUUGGCAAUUUAGUGACUGGAUAUUCUGAGCCAGAUAGAAGGGGAUGAUGGGGAAAGCAAGAAGGUGGAAGAUACUGUCUUUUUCUGUAGUAGCUGUACUGCUGAAACUGAGAGGAGCUGAGAGUGCCAUCUCCUUGGGAGACUGCAGUAGGAGAGAGUCUGUACGAGAAGGCCUAUCAUCCAUCCUAAGCUGCAAAGCAGGGCAAUGUGGCAAACAAAGAGGUGACUUACUGAGCACGAGCCUGGAGCAAUUGCUUUCAUAUGGAAGAUGUCCUCUCUCCUUCCCCAAGGAAGCACUGACAGUCUGGCUUUCACCAGACAGACGGGAUCUGGCUCAAGCUAUGGUCUUGGGUGCCAUCUUAAUUAUCUGCUUUUAAUAUCAGUGUACUAACUAUAAUAUAAAGUAGAUCUGUGGGGAGAAAUGCAGUCUAUCUCACCACCCAGUGGCUUUUAAUUAUGUUUUACUUAUUAUCCCAAGAUCAGGCAUAUUUGCUCUUUUCACAACCCAGAUUUCUCGGUUUCUGAUGACUGUGCCCUUUUCCCUAUCAAUUUACCUCCAAAGGGAGCA